rnacentral:rRNA from 1 species
GACGAACGCUGGCGGCGUGCUUAACACAUGCAAGUCGAACGGAAAGGCCCUGCUUUUGUGGGGUGCUCGAGUGGCGAACGGGUGAGUAACACGUGAGUAACCUGCCCUUGACUUUGGGAUAACUUCAGUAAACUGGGGCUAAUACCGGAUAGGAGCUCCUGCUGCAUGGUGGGGGUUGGAAAGUUUCGGCGGUUGGGGAUGGACUCGCGGCUUAUCAGCUUGUUGGUGGGGUAGUGGCUUACCAAGGCUUUGACGGGUAGCCGGCCUGAGAGGGUGACCGGACACAUUGGGACUGAGAUACGGCCCAGACUCCUACGGGAGGCAGCAGUGGGGAAUAUUGCACAAUGGGCGGAAGCCUGAUGCAGCAACGCCGCGUGCGGGAUGACGGCCUUCGGGUUGUAAACCGCUUUCGCCUGUGACGAAGCGUGAGUGACGGUAAUGGGUAAAGAAGCACCGGCUAACUACGUG